GAACGGGGAUGGUACAUGCGAGGGAGUAGUUUCUUAAGACCAGACAAGUGCCAUCCUAGUGGCGGACGGGUGAGUAACGCGUGGGCAACCUGCCCUGUACAGGGGGACAACACUUAGAAAUAGGUGCUAAUACCGCAUGAGCGCACAAAGGCGCAUGCCUAUGUGCGGGAAGCCCGCGAGGGCGGUACGGGAUGGGCCCGCGUCUGAUUAGCCAGUUGGCAGGGUAACGGCCUACCAAAGCGACGAUCAGUAGCCGGCCUGAGAGGGUGGACGGCCACAUUGGGACUGAGACACGGCCCAAACUCCUACGGGAGGCAGCAGUGGGGGAUAUUGCACAAUGGGGGAAACCCUGAUGCAGCGACGCCGCGUGAGUGAAGGAGCGUUUCGGCGCGUAAAGCUCUAUCAGCAGGGAAGACAAACUGCCCCGGAAGGGGCAGCCGGACGGUACCUGACCAAGAAGCCCCGGCUAACUACGUGCCAGCAGCCGCGGUAAUGCGUAGGGGGCAAGCGUUAUCCGGAUUUACUGGGUGUAAAGGGAGCGUAGACGGCAAGACAAGCCUGGAGUGAAAGGCGGGGGCCCAACCCCCGGACUGCUCUGGGAACUGUCUGGCUGGAGUGCAGGAGGGGUAACCCGAAUUCCUAGUGUAGCGGUGAAAUGCGUA
rnacentral:rRNA from 1 species